rnacentral:rRNA from 1 species
AUGGAAGUAUUGCAUUGUAACUUAUUCCGCAGUUUGACUUCAACAUUUUUGUCCAGUAAUAGGAGUUUCUUUAUACCUUUCAUUCAGAUAGUUGGUGUUUGCAAAGUUUAUGGGGGCCUCAACUGUCAAUAUCAAGAACCCAGGAACUCUUUGGGCCUCCUUAUACUGAUGGAGGUUCCGGUAAAUAUCUGUUCCCUUGAUAUUGCCCUGAAUCAUCAUCCUUGGCCUCGUGAUUUGCAUCAAUACCCUAAAUAUCGAUAUACCAACCUGCAUGCGAGGCCUUCUUGGACCGAGAUGAAGAUGACACCAGCAAAUGCGCACAGACACACGAGGAAAUCCAUCUUGUCCAUCUUCCAGAUGUUGUACGCAGCAGGGAGAUCGAUCAGGCCAAUGACGGCAGCGAUGAUGAUUGCUCCAAGGACAACAUUCGGCGUGUAUACGAACAAUGGCAUGAGGAACAGCAGCGUGACCAUGACCGUCAGCGCCAUGACCACAUUGGACAUGGCGGUCUUGCAGCCGGCAUUGUGGUUCACAGCAGAGCGAGAGAAUGCUCCUGUUAGAAACAUAGCACGAUGUACAUGA